AUCCAGCUGACGAGUCCCAAACAGGAUGAAACGCACGUCAUAGAC
rfam:Schistosoma haematobium scaffold9_43, whole genome shotgun sequence.